AUGUUCUCUUUCACAAGGGAGGAGGAUAUUUCUAUAGUGCAAUUCCAAGAUAGACCACGGGCUUCUAAAAACUUUUACCUCACUCUAUCAAUCGAGGCGCUACAUGAAUUAACAUAUCUGCAGAAUCAUAUGAAUGAUCUAUACUUGGAACCAAUGAUGGCUGAUGAAUGGAUUACUUGUUGGGGAGAUGUUCAGUUUCGGCCCAAGAAAUUCAUCAACUUCUUCUUCAGAGAACUGCAGCCACCCGCAUACAUCACAAUGAUCUGGAAGACAAAGUGUAUCAUGAAACUUAAAGUGUUCACCUGGCUGAUGUUAAUGGACAGAGUCAACAUAAGGGACAUGCUCCACCGGAGACAUUUUGAUAUUGAAGUCACUUCUGUCUUUUGUGCAACACCCACUGGAAACGAACAAACACCCAUUCUUUGA
rnacentral:rRNA from 1 species